GAUGAACGCUGGCGGCGUGCUUAACACAUGCAAGUCGAACGGAAAGGCCAGUGCUUGCACUGGUGCUCGAGUGGCGAACGGGUGAGUAACACGUGGGUGAUCUGCCCUGCACUUUGGGAUAAGCCUGGGAAACUGGGUCUAAUACCAGAUAGGACCAUGCUUUGGAUGGUGUGGUGGAAAGUUUUUUCGGUGUGGGAUGAGCUUGCGGCCUAUCAGCUUGUUGGUGGGGUAAUGGCCUACCAAGGCGUCGACGGGUAGCCGGCCUGAGAGGGUGUACGGCCACAUUGGGACUGAGAUACGGCCCAGACUCCUACGGGAGGCAGCAGUGGGGAAUAUUGCACAAUGGGCGCAAGCCUGAUGCAGCGACGCCGCGUGGGGGAUGACGGCCUUCGGGUUGUAAACUCCGUUCGCAACUGACGAAGCUUUUUGUGACGGUAGGUUGAGAAGAAGCACCGGCUAACUACGUG
rnacentral:rRNA from 1 species